AUUGAACGCUGGCGGCAGGCCUAACACAUGCAAGUCGAACGGCAACAGGAAGAAGCUUGCUUCUUUGCUGACGAGUGGCGGACGGGUGAGUAAUGUCUGGGAAACUGCCUGAUGGAGGGGGAUAACUACUGGAAACGGUAGCUAAUACCGCAUAACGUCGCAAGACCAAAGAGGGGGACCUUCGGGCCUCUUGCCAUCGGAUGUUCCCAGAUGGGAUUAGCUAGUAGGUGGGGUAACGGCUCACCUAGGCGACGAUCCCUAGCUGGUCUGAGAGGAUGACCAGCCACACUGGAACUGAGACACGGUCCAGACUCCUACGGGAGGCAGCAGUGGGGAAUAUUGCACAAUGGGCGCAAGCCUGAUGCAGCCAUGCCGCGUGUAUGAAGAAGGCCUUCGGGUUGUAAAGUACUUUCAGCGGGGAGGAAGGGAGUAAAGUUAAUACCUUUGCUCAUUGACGUUACCCGCAGAAGAAGCACCGGCUAACUCCGUG
rnacentral:rRNA from 1 species